rnacentral:rRNA from 1 species
GAGUUUGAUCCUGGCUCAGGACGAACGCUGGCGGCGUGCCUAAUACAUGCAAGUCGAGCGGAUGAAGGGGAGCUUGCUCCCUGGAUUCAGCGGCGGACGGGUGAGUAACACGUGGGCAACCUGCCUGGAAGACCGGGAUAACUCGCGGAAACGCGAGCUAAUACCGGAUAGGUUCUUUCUCCGCAUGGAGAAGGAAGGAAAGUCGGUUAUGCCGACGCUUCCAGAUGGGCCCGCGGCGCAUUAGCUAGUUGGUGGGGUAACGGCCUACCAAGGCGACGAUGCGUAGCCGACCUGAGAGGGUGAUCGGCCACACUGGGACUGAGACACGGCCCAGACUCCUACGGGAGGCAGCAGUAGGGAAUCUUCCGCAAUGGACGAAAGUCUGACGGAGCAACGCCGCGUGAGCGAAGAAGGUCUUCGGAUCGUAAAGCUCUGUUGUCAGGGAAGAACAAGUACCGAAGGAAAUGGCGGUACCUUGACGGUACCUGACGAGAAAGCCACGGCUAACUACGUGCCAGCAGCCGCGGUAAUACGUAGGUGGCAAGCGUUGUCCGGAAUUAUUGGGCGUAAAGCGCGCGCAGGCGGUUCCUUAAGUCUGAUGUGAAAUCUUGCGGCUCAACCGCAAGCGGUCAUUGGAAACUGGGGAACUUGAGUGCAGAAGAGGAAAGCGGAAUUCCACGUGUAGCGGUGAAAUGCGUAGAGAUGUGGAGGAACACCAGUGGCGAAGGCGGCUUUCUGGUCUGUAACUGACGCUGAGGCGCGAAAGCGUGGGGAGCGAACAGGAUUAGAUACCCUGGUAGUCCACGCCGUAAACGAUGAGUGCUAAGUGUUAGAGGGUUUCCGCCCUUUAGUGCUGCAGCUAACGCAUAAGCACU